CAGUCGCCGCGGGAAUACGUAGGUGGCAAGCGUUGUCCGGAAUUAUUGGGCGUAAAGGGCUCGCAGGCGGUUUCUUAAGUCUGAUGUGAAAGCCCCCGGCUCAACCGGGGAGGGUCAUUGGAAACUGGGAAACUUGAGUGCAGAAGAGGAGAGUGGAAUUCCACGUGUAGCGGUGAAAUGCGUAGAGAUGUGGAGGAACACCAGUGGCGAAGGCGACCCUCUGGUCUGUAACUGACGCUGAGGAGCGAAAGCGUGGGGAGCGAACAGGAUUAGAUACCCGCGUAGUCCCUGUCUCUUAUAA
rnacentral:rRNA from 1 species